rnacentral:rRNA from 1 species
UACGUAGGGUGCGAGCGUUGUCCGGAAUUAUUGGGCGUAAAGAGCUCGUAGGCGGUUUGUCGCGUCUGCUGUGAAAACCUAAGGCUCAACCUUGGGCUUGCAGUGGGUACGGGCAGACUAGAGUGCGGUAGGGGUGACUGGAAUUCCUGGUGUAGCGGUGGAAUGCGCAGAUAUCAGGAGGAACACCGAUGGCGAAGGCAGGUCACUGGGCCGCAACUGACGC